UAUUAUUAAAGUUACAAGAUGAUUAGAUUAAUUUUUAAGAGAGAAGUCAAAUUUUGAAAUUAUAAGGAAGAUGGCACUAUGACGACGGGAUGAUAGGAAUUAAAUUGGAUUCAAUGAAGAUAAGAUAAAUUUGUGGAUCCUACUUUGCAGCAAAGAUACGAAAAUUGUUCUAAGAAUAACCUUCCCUAAUCAAAGUCAAGUUCAUUCGAUAGAAAGAUAGCGAGAAAUUGAGACAGUCGUUACAAGACUCACCAAACCGUGAUGUAAUUUCCAACGAAAUGCCUCUUCCUCUGCCUGUCUUUACAAAAUUGUGCACGAUUAAAUGAAGCGAAACAACGGGGGCUGGGUCGAGCAAUCCACAGGAGCAUUUACCAUUAAAUGGCAUCGGUGUGGCUGGGCGAAAUUUGUCAAGGGAAAGGGUGCGUCACUUUCUCCGCAGUCAGGAAUAAUUCAACCGAAAAGGAGCAACGUCGAGCCAAAAAAGAGGAAGAUCAUCGGCGGGUUUAAGUAACGAAAAUAACUCGAAUCGAUUUUUCAGUGGGGUUCCGUCGGUUUCCAAAAAAGGACACAAAUGCACUCUCGUGCGCACACGUCGUUAACCUACAAUUUUAAAAGCCGGUCACCUCUUUCCACCUGAACACCCGAUCUGGCAAGUGGAACGUCCUGUUCACAGGUGCACUUGGAUCGACAAGGCGUUGGCGUUUUUAAAAUGUACGUAGCAUGUAUGGAAUUUUGCUAGUUUUUGAAUUUCGCGCCAAUUUUCUGG